rnacentral:rRNA from 1 species
GGGGAAUAUUGCACAAUGGGGGAAACCCUGAUGCAGCGACGCCGCGUGGAGGAAGAAGGUCUUCGGAUUGUAAACUCCUGUUGUUGAGGAAGAUAAUGACGGUACUCAACAAGGAAGUGACGGCUAACUACGUGCCAGCAGCCGCGGUAAAACGUAGGUCACAAGCGUUGUCCGGAAUUACUGGGUGUAAAGGGAGCGCAGGCGGGAAGACAAGUUGGAAGUGAAAUCUAUGGGCUCAACCCAUAAACUGCUUUCAAAACUGUUUUUCUUGAGUAGUGCAGAGGUAGGCGGAAUUCCCGGUGUAGCGGUGGAAUGCGUAGAUAUCGGGAGGAACACCAGUGGCGAAGGCGGCCUACUGGGCACCAACUGACGCUGAGGCUCGAAAGUGUGGGUAGCAAACAGGAUUAGAUACCCUGGUAGUCCACACCGUAAACGAUGAUUACUAGGUGUUGGAGGAUUGACCCCUUCAGUGCCGCAGUUAACACAAUAAGUAAUCCACCUGGGGAGUACGACCGCAAGGUUGAAACUCAAAGGAAUUGACGGGGGCCCGCACAAGCAGUGGAGUAUGUGGUUUAAUUCGACGCAACGCGAAGAACCUUACCAAGUCUUGACAUCCUGCGACGAUGCUGGAAACAGUAUUUUCCUUCGGGACGCAGAGACAGGUGGUGCAUGGUUGUCGUCAGCUCGUGUCGUGAGAUGUUGGGUUAAGUCCCGCAACGAGCGCAACCCCUACUGUCAGUUACUACGCAAGAGGACUCUGGCAGGACUGCCGUUGACAAAACGGAGGAAGGUGGGGAUGACGUCAAAUCAUCAUGCCCUUUAUGACUUGGGCUACACACGUACUACAAUGGCGUUAAACAAAGAGAAGCAAGACCGCGAGGUGGAGCAAAACUCAGAAACAACGUCCCAGUUCGGACUGCAGGCUGCAACUCGCCUGCACGAAGUCGGAAUUGCUAGUAAUCGUGGAUCAGCAUGCCACGGUGAAUACGUUCCCG